rnacentral:rRNA from 1 species
UACAGAGGUCCCAAGCGUUUGUUCGGAUUUACUGGGCGUAAAGGGUGCGUAGGUGGCGAGGUAAGUUCGAUGUGAAAUCUCCGAGCUCAACUCGGAAAUGGCAUUGAAUACUAUCCCGCUUGAGGGUCGGAGGGGAGACUGGAAUUCUCGGUGUAGCAGUGAAAUGCGUAGAUAUCGAGAGGAACACCAGUGGCGAAGGCGGCUCUCUGGGACGGUACUGACGCUGAGACGCGAAAGCGUGGGGAGCGAACAGG